CCGAGAGGAAGCUGUUCAACAAAGGCAUUGCCAUCUACAAGAAGGAUUUCUUCCUGGUGCAGAAGCUGAUCCAGACCAAGACCGUGGCCCAGUGCGUGGAGUUCUACUACACCUACAAGAAGCAGGUGAAAAUCGGCCGCAAUGGGACUCUAACCUUUGGGGAUGUGGAUACGAGCGAUGAGAAGUCGGCCCAGGAAGAGGUUGAAGUGGAUAUUAAGGUGACUCCUUUUCCAACCUCAGCUGCAUAGAGCCUGGGCUGGGUCUGGGACCAGGCCUGAGCUGGGAGCCCGAGCCCGAGCUCUCCAGGAGCCUGCAGAGGGCAGGUUGAGGAAGACAGUGUCCCUGACAGCCGCAAGGAGCCCUGGACCGCUGGGUUCUCCUCUCUAUACUGCUGGUGUCAUAGUAAUAAUACAUUGUGUUGAUACACAGGGUAAUUUUCCCACAAGAUUCACACCAGCAUCAUCUUCCUAUCUCCGCUUAGCAGACCUCUAACACUGUUUCUCAAACCUCAGUCAUUCUUGUAUCACCUUUUUGAUUUCUGCCAUAUCUG
rnacentral:lncRNA from 1 species